CAGUCGCCGCGGGAAUACGGAGGGUGCAAGCGUUAAUCGGAAUUACUGGGCGUAAAGCGCACGCAGGCGGUCUGACAAGUCAGAUGUGAAAUCCCCGGGCUUAACCUGGGAACUGCAUUUGAAACUGUCAGGCUGGAGUCUUGUAGAGGGGGGUGGAAUUCCAGGUGUAGCGGUGAAAUGCGUAGAGAUCUGGAGGAAUACCGGUGGCAAAGGCGGCCCCCUGGACAAAGACUGACGCUCAGGUGCGAAAGCGUGGGGAGCAAACAGGAUUAGAGACCCCAGUAGUCCCUGUCUCUUAUAC
rnacentral:rRNA from 1 species